UACGUAGGGUGCGAGCGUUGUCCGGAAUUAUUGGGCGUAAAGAGCUCGUAGGCGGUCUGUCGCGUCGAUCGUGAAAACUUGGGGCUUAACCCUGAGCUUGCGGUCGAUACGGGCAUGACUGGAGUUCGGCAGGGGAGACUGGAAUUCCUGGUGUAGCGGUGAAAUGCGCAGAUAUCAGGAGGAACACCCGUGGCGAAGGCGGUUCUCUGGAACGCAACUGACGCUGAGACGCGAAAGCGUGGGGAGCAAACAGG
rnacentral:rRNA from 1 species